rnacentral:rRNA from 1 species
AACGAACGCUGGCGGCAUGCCUAACACAUGCAAGUCGAACGAGACCUUCGGGUCUAGUGGCGCUCGGGUGCGUAACGCGUGGGAACCUGCCCUUAGGUUCGGAAUAACUCCCCGAAAGGGGUGCUAAUACCGGAUAAUGUCUUCCGACCAAAGAUUUAUCGCCUUUGGAUGGGCCCGCGUUGGAUUAGCUAGUUGGUAGGGUAAAAGCCUACCAAGGCGACGAUCCAUAGCUGGUCUGAGAGGAUGAUCAGCCACACUGGGACUGAGACACGGCCCAGACUCCUACGGAAGGCAGCAGUGGGGAAUAUUGGACAAUGGGCGAAAGCCUGAUCGAGCAAUGCCGCGUGAGUGAUGAAGGCCUUAGAGUAGUAAAGCUCUUUUACCCGGGAUGAUAAUGACAGUACCGGGAGAAUAAGCUCCGGCUAACUCCGUG